GAUGAACGCUGGCGGCGUGCUUAACACAUGCAAGUCGAACGGAAAGGCUCCUGCUUGCAGGGGUACUCGAGUGGCGAACGGGUGAGUAACACGUGGGUGAUCUGCCCUGCACUUCGGGAUAAGCCUGGGAAACUGGGUCUAAUACCGGAUAGGACGAUGGUUUGGAUGCCAUUGUGGAAAGUUUUUCGGUGUGGGAUGAGCUCGCGGCCUAUCAGCUUGUUGGUGGGGUAAUGGCCUACCAAGGCGUCGACGGGUAGCCGGCCUGAGAGGGUGUACGGCCACAGAGGGACUGAGAUACGGCCAAGACUGCAACGGGAGGAAGGAGUGAGGAAUAGUGCAAAAUGGGCGGAAGCAUGAAGCAGGGACGCCGGGUGGGGGAUGACGGCCUUCGGGGUGUAAACGCCGUUCGUCAGGGACGAAGAGAAAGUGACGGUACCUGGAUAAGAAGCACCGGCUAACUACGUG
rnacentral:rRNA from 1 species